rnacentral:snoRNA from 1 species
AGGACAUGUGACCAGGAAAGACACACCAUUGUAGCCAGUACUGGAAACUAUGAGGAAGAGGCCCAGAGUUCCUUCCUGAGGGUGAAGCCAGAUCUUGGUGUUGCUUUACUGCAACUGCCUUUUGUCAUUAAUGACUGUUCUUCUCUCCCUUCCUUUGUGAGGGUGAGGGAAAAAUGCAGUCUGAGAGCU